rnacentral:rRNA from 1 species
AGUGAACGCUGGCGGCAGGCCUAACACAUGCAAGUCGAGCGGCAGCGCGGGGGCAACCCUGGCGGCGAGCGGCGGACGGGUGAGGAAUUCGUCGGAAUCUGCCUUUUUGCGGGGGAGAAGGUGGGAAAAUUUAGGCAAUUACGCCAAUCGCCCAUGGGGCGAACGGGGGGAACCGGAGGGCCUUCGGACCAAACACGAGCCAACGACCCGAUGUCCGAUUAGCUAGUUGAUGGGGUAAAGGCCCACCAAGGCGACGAUCGGUAGCUGGUCUGAGAGGAUGAUCAGCCACACUGGGACUGAGACACGGCCCAGACUCCUACGGGAGGCAGCAGUGGGGAAUAUUGGACAAUGGGCGCAAGCCUGAUCCAGCCAUGCCGCGUGUGUGAAGAAGGCCUUCGGGUUGUAAAGCACUUUUGUCCGGAAAGAAAUGCCUGAGGCUAAUACCUUCGGGGGAUGACGGUACCGGAAGAAUAAGCACCGGCUAACUUCGUG